UUCUCCAUAUAUUCACUGAAGCUAAGUAAAUUUGUGAAGGAACUCUGUCUGUCUGUUACCAGUCCUACAGGUCUGAGCUUGAGGCUCUGAGUCGUAGUGGGAGAGUUUCCACGGUUAGAGGUGACCGUGUUGAGUGUUGGUCUGGGAAGUCUGCCCCGGUGAAGAAGACCACAGUUGUCGUGACAUAUACACCUUCUCUAGACUCCCGAGCUGAAAAGGGCUAAAGCCUGACGUCCACCUCUUCGAGGGUCUGGACUGGAAGGGCCCCAACGACGGUUCUCCUGCAGGAAAAACACAAAGGCAUUACUGAGAAAAACCCUGUUGAGUCACGUGAAGGAAAGGACACAAAUUACCUACAGGCUUAACUGAGAGUCCCCGUGACAGAGUCAGAAGCGACUCGGACCUAUACUCUCUGGCCCCGAGAUUGGAUUUUAGAUCACCUUUACACCUUUAAAUUUAAAUAAAGUUGUUUUAAUUAUA